UUCCAUGGAACAGACCAUUUGGUGGUAUUUCUUUGUACAAAGAUCCAUUCGUGAAGCCAAGAAACACAACAAAAUGGAACUUCCCAUGCGGAUAUUCACUGAGAACAUUGCAGGCUGUGACACUCCUCUGUAUGUAACAGCAACAAACUUUGAAAUGGUGAAUGACAUAAUCAGCAAGUUACUACCAAUGAUAAGAAAGCAUAACAUUGAAGAUUACCAACUGUGGUUCUGUACUGGCCCUGGGAAAGCUCCAAGAGUACUCUAGGGGCAUGAGUGUCCGCAUGACUUUAGAAUGAUAAAUAUUCAAAAGAACUUCAGUUCACGGGACUUAAGAAAUUUUACAGCUUUUCCUUCCCUACCUGGGGUAAUCAUGAAAUAUCUAAACGCUGAUGUACAUGGGAAAUUCAUCUUGAAGCCCAGAAACUCAGCAAGAAGCCAGUAGCAAAAGAAUAUGAAGGAAAAAACUUUUAAGAAACGAAGAACUUCUAUAACAUCGCAGUUGGACAAGGGCUCUGUGCCCCACAGGACCAAGUAUGCACCACCCCACCAUUUAAAAAGGGAAGAAAACUGUUUGGAAGAGAACUCAGUUCCAUUUGUCAGGAUGGCAUCCUGCCUGCAGCAAUUCUGGACAUGCUGUAUCUACUAAAAAAGAACGGGCUCACAACCACGGGUGUCUUUUUAGAACCUCCGAGUACAACUUUGUGCCAAACAGUAAAGGACAAAUUGGAUUCGGAAGAGGAGGUGGAUAUAAACAAGCAAUCAGUUAAUGUAGUGGCGUGGAUCUUUAAGGACUUCCUCCAAAACCUCAAGGGAAGUCUGAUGGCUUCAAAACUAUAUGAUGAGUGGAUUGCUGUACCCGAAACGGUCAAUAUGAAGAGAAAUUAGCUGCAGUGCAGAGUCUUUUAGAUAAAAUGCCACCUGAAAAUGCAGCUCUUCUGAGGCAACUUUUUUGUAUAUUAUAAGAAAUUAAAAGUAACUGUUCUGUUAAUGAAAUGUCUUCAGACCACCUAUCUGUUGGGUUAGCCCCAUGUCUCUUAUUUGUGCCCAGCUCCUGCAAUAAUGGAGUGACAAAUGAUAUUGGCAAAAGGAUUUCUCUAGUAGAAUUUAUGAUUGAAAAUUCUCCAAAAGUUUUUGGAGAGGCCUUGGCUGCAAUGUGGCAUGGAAUAUCACUAUAUCAUCCUCCUGGAGGAAAGUCCUCAUGUUCCCAGAAUAAUGGAACAAAUAUUGGAAACAUUAAGGAAACCGAACAUGGACUCAGCAGCUUCCUCAUUGGGAGGACAUGCACUACUGGCUAUAAUACAAUGCCGAAAAGUCCAGCUGCUCCUCUUCUCUAUGAGGGCCUUAUAGAUUCACAAAAACACAAAUGCAAUAUAUAUACUAACCCAAGAGUAACAUCUAUUAAUCCAUGACAAGCAAAACAGAAAUGUUUGUUUGGCAAAUCUCUUUAGGGUCUUUUAGAAGACAAAAAGUUGCCUACUCCAAAACUUGGCUUCAGCUCCUUCCUGCCCCCCACCAGCAGCCCUAGUGAACACUGCCAGGCCAAGCAAGGCGUGGGGCUGACCUGGACUCCCAGCUCUGAGGAGAUCAGCCCUACAAAAUUUCCUGGAUUGUACCAGACAGGUGAGCCUUCACCUCCCCAUGACAUCCUCCACGAGCCUCCUGAUACCGUGUCAGAUGAUGAGAAAGACCAUGGAAAGGAAAAAGGAAAAUUUAAGAAAAAGGAGAAAAGGACUGAAUGCUAAGCUGCGUUCUAGGAAGACAGCUCUGGAGAUGAAGCUGAAAGUCCUUCCAAGAUGAAGAGGUCCAAGGGAAUCCAUGUGUUCAAAAAGCCCAGCUUCUCUAAAAAGAAGGAAAACGAUUUUAAAAUCAAAGAAAAGCCCAAAGAAGAAAAGCAUAAAGAGGAAAAGCACAAAUAGGAAAAGCAUAAAGAAAAGAAAUGUAAAGACUUGACAGAAGCCAAUGUUGUUAAAGAGUGGAAGGAAAAGAAGAAAAAGAAGAAGCCAACUCAGGAGUCAGAGGUGCCUCAGACGGACGUCCCAAGUCUCAGACUCAUUUUCGGCGUUGCCUUGGCUGACGCAGUAGAGAGGACCAUGAUGUAUGACGGCAUCCGGCUGCCAGCUGUCUUCCGAGAGUGCGUGGACUACAUGGAGCAGCAUGGCAUGAAGUGUGAAGGCAUCUACCGAGGGUCAGGAGUCAAAUCAAAGGUAGAUGAGCAGCCUGUGACCCAGAGGAGUCUCCAAACUUGGAAGAAUAUGACCCUAACACUGUAGCCAGCUUGCUGAAGCAGUAUUUGCGAGACCUUCCAGAGAAUUUGCUUACCAGAGAGCUUAUGCUCCGAUUUGAAGAGGCUGGUCAGCAGAGGACCACAGAGACGGAGAAAGUGCAGGAGUUCCCUAACUGCCGGAGUAUAACCAUCUUCUGCUUUCCUGGCUCAUUGUGCACAUGGACCACAUCAUUGCGAAGGAGAUAGAAACCAAGAUGAACGUCCAGAACAUCUCUCUAGUGCUGAGCCCAACUGUCCAAACCAACAAUCGGGUCCUGUAUGUGCUUUUCACACACGUGCAAGAGCUCUUUAGCACCGUAGUCCUGAAGCAAGUAACAAGACCUCUGUGUUGGUCCAACAUGGCCACAAUGCUUACACUGCCAGAGACCCAAACAGGUAUCAAGGAAGAGAUCAGGAGACAGGAGUUCCUUUUGAACUGUUUACAUCGAGAUCUGCAGCACGGGAUAUAGGACUCAUCUAAAGAAUCCUCUGUACUAUGGGAAGUACAGAGGAUUCUGACUGCCCUCAAGAGAAAGCCGAAGGAAGCUAAAAGACAAGAGUGUGAGACCAAGAUUUCCCAGGACAUAGCCAGCCUUUUGAACGAGGAUGUUGCCAAAGAAGAAAUGGACGAAAAUGAGGAGGUCAAAAAUAUCCUCCCUGCCCAGGAGAAUGAGAUCCUGACUGAGCAGGAGGAGGUCCUGGCCAUGGAGCAGUUUCUGCGCAGUCAGAUCGCCUCGGAGAAAGAAAAGAUCCACUGCCUCCGAGCUGAGAUUGCGGAGAUCCAGUCACCAGCAUGGCUGCAGCGAGACAGAGAAGCCCUCUUCUGACAGCGAGUGAGAAAGCAAGGAUGAGGAGGAGCUGCAGAUCAUUCUGGAAGACUUAGAGAGGCAGAAUGAAGAGUUAGAAAUAAAGAACAAUAAAUCACUUGAACCAAGCGGUCGGUGAAGAACGGGAGGCCAUCGUUGAGCUCUGAGUGCAGCUCCAGUUGCUCCAGAGGCAGCGAGCCAAGUCUGAGCAACAGCUCCAGGAGGAGGAGGAGGAGCCUGAGAGGUGAGGGGCACAGGCCCACUGCCCUGUGAAGGUGUCCUUGAGGUGAUAGCAGCCAAGGAGCAGGUGAAACCCUCGCCCAGCAAAGACCCGAAGGAGACGCAUCUGAACUGCCCCGGCCCUGUGCAUCAUAGUGUAAGCGAGAGUCCACUGCCUGUCCUGCCCGGCAGCGUUCUGUAAAGGCUCUCAGAGACGCUCACUCUUGCACACGUCUGACUCCGUGUCAGGCUCAGGUCCUGGGAGGGUGAAGCGGUGGACACUCGGGGGUGGAGGGCUUGCAGGGAACACAGGCAUUUCCAGAUAGUGUCAGCUUAUUUGAAAAUUAAUUGUCUUUGAUAAAAAUAACUAUUUUCACCCUUGAGUGGCUUCUUUUUAAACCAAAAAACUUUUUGCUUUUUUUUUUUUGUUUUGUUUUGUUUUUUGUUGUUGUUGUUGUUGUUUAAAUCACAGUAGAAUCAGGAUCUCUUUCUUAUCAAAGGGUAUGAACCAAACUAGGUCACUUCUGUGCCUGCCUUGUGGACGCUCGUGGUGUCACCAGCCCUGCAGGGUCCCUGGCCACUCUUGCUCGUGCCUUCCACACCUUUUGGUGCAGAUUGUUCAAUGGGGAGCUGCCUCAUAUUCUCUGACUGGCCAAAAAGGCUUUCGCUGGGAUUCCCUGUACCUGCCCUGUGUGUACCACUUUGCUUUUCCAGCUCGGGGUCUGUCAGUGUGAGUCAGGAUAACCCAGUUUGGUUGCAGAUGGAGGUUAUCAUGCAGCCUGCCACCAGCCUGGGCAGCGCAGGCCACCCACUCACUGCCAGGGAGCAGCAAGGGCCUCUUCUCAGAGGUGGCCCUGAGGUUGCACAGGACGCUUCUCACACCAGAGUCCUUUUCCACACUGACCUUCCAGGAAAGUCACCUUCCACAGUGACUUCAGUUGCUAGCUUGGGCUGGGAUACCCACACCUCUGCCAGGAAAAGCAAUGUAGAUGCUCUCAUGCACAACUUUCACCUGUCCAUGUCAUCUCAAGGGGCUGCUUAAGGACUCUGACAGAACUGAGCGGAAGGAAGGAAAGCAUAACUGUAAUUGACCCGACCUGGUGUUUGCCUCUAGCCCAGACAACUGGUCCCAGCGGUCUGGGAGGCCUGACUCUUAGGCAACCGGAUUUCACUGUCAGAUGAGUGGCCCCCAGGGAGGUCCCCUGUGGCUCUGAAGACAGAUCCCACACUCUAAAGUGAGCAACAAACCCACAGGAGGGCUCCAGUCUACUCCUAGUUAGUAUUUAUUUCAGCACCUGUUUUGUGCGAUUUUUCAUUAGCCUCUACCUGUUGCACUGUGGUGACUUGUUGGCCAUUAUUUGAUUUCUCUAUGAAAAAAAAGAUUUGUUAUAGAAAUCAGCAUACUAUUUUUUUAAAUCUGGAGAGAAGAUGUUAUGGAGACUGGAAACAUGAUCAGGUGUCAAAUGAAAAUGUAUAAAUGCAUUGCUGCACCUGUUAGAUGUGCGACACUCAUUCUCUAUUUGCUGGCAAUAUCGAAGAAUUCUUUUUGUUUGUGUAAACUCUAAUUUCUAUCAACGUGUCAUGGGUUUUUAAAAUUUCAUUACAAAUGUCUCAGUGUUGGUUAACUAAUUUUUGCCAGGACCAUUAUUGAUUAAGGAAAUAAAUUCAGCAGCCAUUUGAGAAAAAAAAAAAAGAA